rnacentral:rRNA from 4 species
GCAUAUCAGUCAGCGGAGGAAAAGAAAGCAACUGCGAUUGCCCUAGUAACGGCGAGUGAAGCGGCAGCAGCCCAGAUUUGGAAUCUGGCCCCCUUGCGGGGCCCGAGUUGUAAUCUGCAGAGGAAGCGUCUGGCGCGGCGCCGGCCUAGUUCCCUGGAACGGGACGCCGUAGAGGGUGACAGCCCCGUACGGUCGGCCGCCAAGCCUGUGUGUCGCUCCUUCGAAGAGUCGCGUAGUUUGGGAAUGCUGCGCAAAGUGGGAGGUAUGCUCCUCCUAAGGCUAAAUACCGGCCAGAGACCGAUAGCGCACAAGUAGAGUGAUCGAAAGAUGAAAAGUACCUUGAAAAUGGGGUUAAACAGUACGUGAAAUUGCCAAAGGGGAAGCGCUCGUGGCCAGACUCGCGCCCGGCGGAUCAUCCGGCUCUCCCGCCGGUGCACUCUGCCGGGCUCGGGCCAGCGUCGGUCGGCGCCGGUACUGAAAGGCGGUGCGAACGUGGCUCCCUUCGGGGAGUGUUAUAGCGCGCCGCGUAAUGUGCUGGUGCCGUCCGAGGACCGCGCUUUAUGCAAGGACG